GGAAUUUAAGAAACUGUUUUUUAACUUUUAACUAAAAAAACUAAGAACCAAUUCUUAUUUAAGAACCGGUUCUUAGCUUUUUUUAGUUAAAAAUUAAGAAACAGUUUCUUAACUUUC
rnacentral:pre_miRNA from 1 species